ACUACUGGAGCUGCUGGAGAAACUAUGACCUAUUGUGGUUCCUGCUGGAGCUCCUGCAACUAACUUCUUAACAGCUUCCUCUGGGAAAGUUCCUGGAGCUUCUAAUGUUAAAAUAAAUAGAACUUAGUCAAAAUUCUACGGGAGAAAGUAAAAAAAAAUCCUCCAGCUGCUGCUGAACAACUACAAACUACAGCUUCUCAGCUGGAAAGGAAUGAAGUAAACUGGAGGACAAGGUCUGGCUCUUGUGGAGAGGGAAUGAAGCUACUGUGCUUUAUUAUCCAAAACAUUCUGAAAGAUCAUUAUGGAGAGAACUUUUAACGAUCGUGUUCUGUCAGAUAAAACCGACCCAAACCCAAAGAUAACAAGACAGGGAAAAUAAAUACACAAUCACUCGAAACAAGAACCGACACACAAAAGAUGAGGAAUCUGCGAAGCUAACCACAAUGAAGAGGAAUAAAUAGACAUGAUAAUUAGUCCAAUUACAACCGUGAGUACCACUUGACACGUGACACACUGCUGGAACGUCCCCUAAUGUUGCUGCAGUGAAUGUCCAAGCAGAAGUCCCGACAUGCUCAUGUUCUGAUGAAACACUUCACAAGCUGAUAAUCCGACAUCACUGCAGUGUGACAGAGAAACUGGGUUUGAACUGAGAAGUUAUCAGUAGCCUGAUGGUCUGCAGGUGAACACUGCAGGUCUGUAAUUGGCUGCUCUUGAUGUUCUACAGCGUUCCCUGUCAGAUAUCAGCCUGGUGGCUUGUGUGCUGGCGUCUGCAGUCUGAAGUCGUCCUCAGGCUCUGUGACAGCAGCAGACUUAUACUGUACACCUGGGAUUUUACUUCCUGUCAUUACAGACGGAUGUUCCAGACACUGAUGCAACCCCAGGAGCAUGAUGCAAAAUCUGCCAUAAGGAGAUGUCAUUAUACCAUUCAGACCAUUCAGUCCCAGUGCUCUAAUCUGAUUGGUCGAGCGGAGUUCUGGAACAUGUGUUCAAAACGGUUACUACAUGAGGGUUAGUGACAUCGUCAGCAGACACGACAAACGACAUCUCAGGAUCUUUGGGUCAAACAAUGAAAGCUGAUAAGGAGAAGAAGAAAAGGAAGAAGUGAAGCUCAUUUUAAAUAAAGAACCCAAAGAACAAAUAAAUGUUAGCUAUGCUAGACCACUAGCCGACAUGCUAAUACUCUCGGCUUCGGUUCUGCUAAAGGAGCAAAAACUGUCUGAAAAUGUAACUUAGAGACUUAGUGAAUAUUUUCAUGACUUGUUUAUAGAAUUUAAAAGUAAUAAUGUGAGUAGAAUUGUGCUUUUAUUUCUAUAAUAAUGUUGCUUAAUUAGUGUAGAUUUUACCCUGGCAUUAAAAAAAAUCAUAUUUCCUUCAA